GACGAACGCUGGCGGCGUGCUUAACACAUGCCAGUCGAACGGAAAGGCCCUGCUUUUGUGGGGUGCUCGAGUGGCGAACGGGUGAGUAACACGUGAGUAACCUGCCCUUGACUUUGGGCUACUUCAGGAAACUGGGGCUAAUACCGGAUAGAAGCUCCUGCUGCAUGGUGGGGUUUGGAAAGUUUCGGCGGUUGGGGAUGGACUCGCGGCUUAUCAGCUUGUUGGUGGGGUAGUGGCUUACCAAGGCUUUGACGGGUAGCCGGCCUGAGAGGGUGAACGGCCACAUUGGGACUGAGAUACGGCCCAGACUCCUACGGGAGGCAGCAGUGGGGAAUAUUGCACAAUGGGCGGAAGCCUGAUGCAGCAACGCCGCGUGCGGGAUGACGGCCUUCGGGUUGUAAACCGCUUUCGCCUGUGACGAAGCGUGAGUGACGGUAAUGGGUAAAGAAGCACCGGCUAACUACGUG
rnacentral:rRNA from 1 species